GUGGAGCUUCAGCAUGGGUGUUUGACCUUACAACUCGGCAUUGAUCAAUCGUGGUUGUAGAGUCAUGCACCUCUGCCGACUCUCCGG
rfam:Physcomitrella patens subsp. patens PHYPAscaffold_448 genomic scaffold, whole genome shotgun sequence.